AUUUAUAUAGUUUAUAUAAAACCUUACAUUUUCACUGUAAAAAUAAAGUCAAUCUUUUAUAAAUU
rnacentral:tRNA from 1 species